AGUGAACGCUGGCGGUAGGCCUAACACAUGCAAGUCGAACGGCAGCACAGUAAGAGCUUGCUCUUGCGGGUGGCGAGUGGCGGACGGGUGAGGAACACAUCGGAAUCUACUUUUUCGUGGGGGAUAACGUAAGGAAACUUACGCUAAUACCGCAUACGACCUACGGGUGAAAGCAGGGGAUCUUCGGACCUUGCGCGAUUGAAUGAGCCGAUGUCGGAUUAGCUAGUUGGCGGGGUAAAGGCCCACCAAGGCGACGAUCCGUAGCUGGUCUGAGAGGAUGAUCAGCCACACUGGAACUGAGACACGGUCCAGACUCCUACGGGAGGCAGCAGUGGGGAAUAUUGGACAAUGGGCGCAAGCCUGAUCCAGCCAUACCGCGUGGGUGAAGAAGGCCUUCGGGUUGUAAAGCCCUUUUGUUGGGAAAGAAAAGCAGCAGGUUAAUACCCCGCUGUUCUGACGGUACCCAAAGAAUAAGCACCGGCUAACUUCGUG
rnacentral:rRNA from 1 species